rnacentral:misc_RNA from 1 species
AGACGUAUGCAGAGGUAGUAUACGGCCAGGCAAGCACACUUGCACGGAAGCGGAAAAGGUAGCGCGCAUCUGCACGCUCACAGACAAGACCAGGCGAGGCGAAAAACAAGUGUCGCGACGACACCCCCCCCCUCCCUCCCCGCCCCCGCACAGCUUUUGGAGCUCGUCACACGCACACACACGCACCCGCACCUCAUCACACUCUCGGCACGUCUGUGUACAUAUUUUUUUUUUGUUCUUCUCUCUCGUUGUCGUUUUGUUUCGCGCCGUUUCCGUUCUCCCGCAGACGUGCGUCGGCUGACGGGUUUGCCCUUGCCUCGCCCCCGUGUCCCCCCCCUCUCCACGGCACUUCUUCCCUAUCCUGAUCAACGACGGGCUGUGUGCCAUGCUGGGGAGUCGUCCACCGCGUGGGUGGGCUGCACCACCGGCCGCCACCAUCGCUAACAGCAGCGAUGGCGCCACGGCUAAUAUGGGCAAAGCAUACGCUCCCUCGUCACGCGUGGAGAAGACCGCUGCAGGAAGCCCGUUGCCCCUGCCAGCGAUCACUUCCUUGGGCAGCGGGGCGGCAUCGAGGGGCGGCAAGGACUUGGCCGUUCACGGCAGCGAUGGUGCUGUUGCCCGCGGCCCUGCUCCACCUUCCCCCACAAGCCCAUCAGUUAGUGUUGGCCUUCAAGCGGCGAAGGCUGCAGUGAGCGGAGGCGCCUUCUCAUCGUCAGCAGCCACAUCGACGCUGCCUUUGCCACGCAGCGAUGAGGAGGUGACGCAGUACGUGCUGUACGAUGGGCUGCCGCAGAUCGGUCCUGCCUCCCGCCGUGCUCAGAAGCGGCAGAGCGAGGCGUAUUACCAGUUCCAGCACCGCAUUCACGAGCGCACCGAGUCCGCACACGCGUUGGUGCUCUCCGCGAACCCGCUGUCGCUCUCCGUGAUGGCCUCUCAGCUGCGCAUGUACCGCUGGCGCGUGACGCAGGCGCAGACGCUCACGGAGGCCACCGCCAUCUUGCAGGACUAUGUGAUCGACACGGCAAGGCACGGCUACCGCGUGCGCCGUCGUGCGCCGCCGCCAUCCGGGCAGAGCCGCUACGCGCACGGGCGCGGGCGUGCUGCGCUGAAGCGGAGGGCACAGGCGGAGCUGGAGAGGUUGUCUGGCGUCAAGCCCACAGCAGAAAACAGCGCUGGUGUGUCCAUAGAUGGAGCGCGCGUGGGCAGGGGGGUUAGUGCUGCCCCGCGACACCCCAAGGACAGAGGUGCCUCCGACAGCCGUGCAGCAGAAGUAGCGGGGGAGGAAGAGGAGGAGGAGCUGGAUGAGGCGGCCGUCGAGGAUGACGCUGAGAGUGCGCUGCCGUCGCCGCCGCCCGACACGCUGCCGCGUUUGGUUCUCGUCGACACCUUCACCCAUGAGGACCUUGGCGAUAUUGCCCGCCACGUGCGCUUCGUUGACCAGGAGCACGGGCUGGAGAUGCUGCUCGUGCUGCUGCUUCCCAAUGAAGCCGGAACGAUGACUGCGUCGAUGCAGGGCGCCGGCUGCGUCAUAACGCCGACGCAUCAAAUGACGAUGGAGGAUGCCUACGCGGUCGGCUACGACCUUGUGCUGGCGCACAACAUGGACCAUCUGCUUGUUGACUUCUUCACGAACGAGUUUGUGUCAUCGGUGGGACGGUGGCGCAACGACGUACGCUCGAAGGCGGCGGUGGGCAACUACAUGAGCCUGCGCAGCGUGCUGCUCGGCGGGCUGGACACGGCCGCCCUUCAGCGCCUCAUCUGGGAUGACCGGAUCGACGACACCGGGGUGCUGGAGCUGCUAGGAGCGCAGUCGCUCUCCACGCAGGGCGGAGCCCAACGGUACGGCGCGGCUACUCGGCAUCUGCUGCAGCAGCAGGGAACCGCCGCUGAGGUCGAGGCUCCGGCCAAGCGUCACGGCAGCGGAGCCAGUCACUCCAGCCGCGGCGGCUCUGGCGAGUCCGACGCCGACCUCGCGCAGAGUGUCAAUGAGUCGAUUCUGGUCACGGGCGUGCCGCGGCUGCGCAAACGCCCAACGAGCGUGGCGCACUUCGGCGUUCGCUUGCCGGCACAGCAAUGCGCAACGCAUGAGCCCCUUUCGAGCUUCUCCACGAAAAGAGACGUCUUUUCGAGCGUGAUGGCGCAGCCGACGGGUGCACGGCAGUUACACCGUCGUCGUCACUGUCAGGUCAGCGGCGCCGAGGACUUGGAGUGUGACGCAGACAGCAAUGAGGACGCGCUAAAACACCAGCAGCGUCUCCUGCAAGGUGCACUAGAAACGGAACUGGGACGCUUGCUUGCCGAGAACGAAGGCAAGCAGGCCUACAUCGACGCCAUGCAAGCGGAGGUGGAGCGGCUGCAGCGCACUGUGGCCGUCCUCCGACGGCACCAGCGCGGAGCCCCUAGCGCGAGCGGCGACGGCUCCAACGCGAACCAGAUAUCAGAGCUUUCCGAAAGCGGCUCGAUGAUUCACCUUAGCAAGCAGCAGCAGAUCUUCAUCCUCAAGGAGCGGCUGGAGGCGGCGAACGGCCGGAUUGUGGCCCUGCUGAGAGGUGGGCGGCCCAGCGGCGGCCCCCCGUCUCCCCGUCGGCGUGGCGGGGGCCGGGGUGGCGGCUUGAGCCGGCGCUCCCGCGGUAGCAGCGCGUCGGGAGGCCCAAGGAGUCCGACUCAGACGCCGAGCCCGACUGCAUAUUCCGCGUUUCUCACGAAGGUCACUGUACAGGAGGCGGAGCAAAUGGCGGCGCUGGACUCUGAUGCCAACGUCUCGCUCGAUCAGCUGCAGCUUCACCGUCAGGAGGUGAUCGCCGCCGCCAACGAUACCGCCGGCCAAGCGGCCGCGGGCCAGAAGCAGCGCAGAGAGCGCGAGGCGGUGAACCAGGUAAUUCACUCUCUCCAACUUGAGCUUCAGCAGCUGCAGGGGCGCCUGGACGACACCCGCCCCGGUAGCAGCCGGGCGGAGGCGGAGGGCUGUGAGGGUUUGCAGGCGCGCAUGGCGAGCCGCUUGCAGUCUGCGCUGGAAGUGAUGGAGGCGCAGAAGGUGCGCAUCCGGCAUCUGGAGGAGCUGCGGCAGAUGGAUCAGCUGCUGCACACCACUUUCAGCCGAGAAGGUUUGAAGGGCCGGAAGAAGGGUGCCGGGCGCAGCACCAGGUCUACCUCUGGCGUGUCCGGCGGCUCAGACGAGGCGGACCACGAACACGGAAGCAGCAGCUUCAGUGCAGACGAGGAAGGCGACGCUUUCGCAAGCGCGCGCGGCACCGCUUCGGGUCGCAGGGCGCGGCAGGCGCGCACCAAGGGCAAGAAGGCAGCCAAGUCCCGCUUCGGGGUAGAACUCGUGCCGGCCGGCAAGAAGGGGGCGACUGGUGGUGGUGGUGGUGGUGUGGCGCCGUCGAAGGACGCGACCAAGGGAGGCCUCGAUGCGGCUGAAGACGCCGACAGUGACAGCACCCAGAAGAUGGAUAUGGAGGAGGUCGCAGCGCGACGCACCGAGGCCGCCGUGCACGACGCCGUGACCUCUCUCCAGCGCACGCACCGACGGCAGCUCGCUGCUCUCGUCCAGACAUGCAAGAUGCAACUUGCCCGGGUGGCGCUGAAACUGCAGAAGCCCUCCACCAGUGCAUACACAGCGCUGCUGCAGGAGGAGCUCUCCUGUGCCCAGCGUGAGCAGCGCGCUGCGUGGAUGCGUCUGCAAUUCACGCUGAGAAACCUGGGCCCAGACCAGUACGACGCAACGCUCGCGGAGCGAGCCUCAUCCUCGGCGGCAGCGACGCCGCCUCUCAUCUCUCUGCGCGUCACGCCGACGCCAGAACCCGAUGCGACGGACAGCGGUGCGGCUCUCGGUGCUAGCGAUGAUACGAAUAUGGUCCCGCUCGGUGCGGUGACGGACCCCAACGUGCGAUCCACGGCUGCGAACAUCGCGCGGGAGUACGCGGCGUACGGUUUGCGCAUCGCGUACGUGUCCAGCGAGCUCCAACGUGUGGAACAGAGCAUGAUGGACUCGCCAAGGCACCUGCCAGAGUUCGCGCCCGCAGCAACGCCUGCCGUUGCGGACACCCCACCGGAGCAGCAGCUGUUCUCCGUUUACCAGGCAGCCAAGGCUCGCGUGCAGGAAACGGUCGACACCUGCGGGCCAAUUCAAGAGUACCUCGAGGCCGUGCAGGCGGAGCUGGCCAUUGAGCAGCAGUUCCGCCCCUGGUGUGACGUGAAUAGCGCGCAGCUUUUCAGUGCAGCGAACACGGCGCUCGUGCCGUCCACGCUGUGCAUUGGCGCAUCCAUGUCCGGCUCGGCCGCCGCUUACGACCACACCCUACAUAACCCGCACUCCUCAACGGUGUCCGCGACCACCGACCAGCUGGUGCUGCUGGCGGACGUGGAUGCGAGCAUGCGUGACGUCGCGGACGUGUAUGCCACGAUGUUGCGCGCACUGACGCCGAAGGGCAGCGGAGCUGCUAUGAGCAUAUCCACCACCAGCAGUGGAAGCAUCAGCCGCCACCACGCCUCACCCCCGGCCCGCGCCAGCAAGAAGCGCGACUCCAAGAAAGGUAGGCAGUCCGCAGUCUCACCGACGCAGCCAAAACCGGCAGCGUCGCAGCGCCGAUUCGUGGCCAAGGCAGCCGACAAGAGGUCCAGCGGCUCCCCGGAUGAGUCGGAAUCGCUUCUGCCUCUUCGCGGCUCGGCUGGGUUCACUGUUGAGGAAGCUCUGGACGCGCUGCCGAUCCAGCCAGAUGACGUGGCCAGCUAUCAGGGUCAGCUAGGGAGCAUCUACAUCUCCGAAGGAGUGCACAGUGCCGCGCAACAGCGGCUGUACGAGUUCAUCCUUCGCGCCUACCAGCAACACUACAUUCAUCCGGUGCACAUGGCGGCGGUGGAGUCCGCUCUGAGUUUGCCGUUGCCGGACCACCGCGGCAGCGCCAGCGGAAUCUCGAAUGACGUCUCGAGGGAGUCGUCUGUCUCGGCGAGCGAGGCGCUGGUGGAUCUAAUGUCGGCUCAGGCGGGUGCCGCGCACGCGCAGCAUCGCGAGGUAAUGGCGCUGCUGGAGCUCAUUGCCCCUACGAUGACGCAAGCGCUACGCACGCUCACGAAGGGGCUGCAACGAGUGCAACACUUGCUGGAUCGCGAGGAUGACGGUGCGGCCUUCGCUGAGGCCUGCAGCGGAACCGGUCCGCCGUGCACCUCGCCGGUGUUCUUAACCGCCGUGGAUGCAGCAGUUCUUGGGUGCGUCGUCGAUGAGCUGCGGUGGCGGGAGUGGCGGCACUCUCUGCUUCCAAGCAAGAAGGACGGUACGGAAUCCUCUGACCCCGCGCCACUUCCGACUGCGGGCGCAGCACCUAGCGAGCUGCUUACAGCGCUGAUCCUGGCGCGCCGCGGCAGGAGUGGUGGUGGCCGCAGCGCUACCCCUACCACGGACGGUGGUGCUGACCUUGAGGAUGCCCGGAUCAUUGGGCACUACGCGGCCUUCUGCGCUGCGCGAGAGCGAGCCGCUCGCAACGCUCACUCAAGCCAGGGUUCACCUGUGCCCGGGCCCGCUGAGUCGCCGUCGUCUGAGGCAGAGGACCUGUUUCACCUGACGGACGCCCCACCGAUGCUGUUGGUGCCGAGCGACGCGAGCGGCAUCAGCGCCUUGGCUGCGACUGGAGGCGACAACGCCGAUGUGGGCCUCACGGUUGCCCACGAGCUGGCGGCACUUUUUAGCAAGCGUCGACCGCAGGAUGCCCAUGGUGACGACGACAAGGCCGCAGCCCUGCUCGAGGAGAUCUACCUCGACGAUGGUGAAUACGGCGGAGCGGGCGUGCUUGGCGGAGACUCGAACACGGAGGCGAUGCGCAGUAUCCGGCGAGAGCUGGAGUACCUGCAGGCGGCGAAGCAGCAGCGCAUGUGGGAACUCAUGAUGCGGUUCGAGUUGCACAAGGAGCGCUGCGCUGGCAAAACGGACGGUAGCGGCCGCCUGGAGCCCAAGUUUGGCACUGCCGGUGCGCGCGGUGCCGAUGACCGCGCCUCGUUGCCCUCCGUCGACCCCGACCGUCUCGGCUUCGAGGUAAAGUCUGGAAGCGCGGCCUGGUACGGGAUGGAGGCUGCAAAGCGGGUGCACAACAUUCUGCGCCGCCGCGCGCGUCCUGAUCAGAUCAUCGUCGGUGGCGGCCCGCACGGCGGCAGCGUCGGCAUUGAGCUCAGUCGCCGCACCGCGCAGCCGGGGUCAAGCACGGCAGGCAGCAGUAAGUCGGGCAAUAUCGGCGGUGCCGGGGCUGCCCCUGGCAGUGGUGUGUUGGGCCAGGAGGACGAGGACGAGGGCUACGCACACUCUUCUGCUGAAGAGGAAGCGUUGUUCACCCUUGGUCCUUAUGCGUCUCAUCAGCGGUCCGCUCGCAGCACUGGGCGGGCUACCCCGUCGACGGUGCGCCUUCCUCCCCUGCGCCAGCAUUUGUUGUCUCGUGCGCAGCAGGGCCGCGACGGUCUCGCCGGCCACGGCGGCAACACCGCGCUGAUGGCAGGCGUGGGAUACUUGUCGCCACGCGAUGUCCUAAGUCUGAACGCGUACGGGCGCAUGGCCCCCGGUGGCGCGUACGACUACUCAGGCGCCACCGAACCUCUCCACGCCGCCGGUAGCCUUACCGAGCAGGUGCUGGCGUACCGAGAAGCGCUGAUGCGCUCUGCCGGCCGCGUUGUGCCAAUGCCGUUCACCACCUACGCCAACGGGGAUCCGUACUGCUUGCCACUCUCGACAUGGCCAGCGUCAUCGGGGAAGACCGGCGCGGCUGGCAGCGACCGCUACGACCCGCUAGGCCGCCAACUGCCUUCGCCGGUGCCGCUGCCGGAUUUGACUGCGUGGGUGUACGGAGUCCCUGAGGGGUACGCCUCGUCGCUCCUGCAGCAGCAGACCACUGGCUCUCAUCAGCCGCAGAACAUGGCCCUCUUCAUGCCCCGCUACGACUGCUCCCCGCUUGCCAAGGUUGAGGGGCGUCAGCGCGCGUGUAUGGCGUCGGCGAUGCCACAGUCACUGAGUCGCGGCCGCAGCUUUCCGGCUGGUGCCUCCACCUACUCCACGCCCGCUGCCCUUGCUGCGCAGCGACUACAGGCAAUGCUCAGCGUGUCCAUGUGUGACCCGUCUGUCGCCACAGUUCCCGCCGCCAUGGAAGCCACCACCGCCGGAAGCCGCGGGGCGCUUCCGACGACGCGAGGUCGUGCUUAUCCUGUGCACUUGGGGCGGAGCGGCGGGGCUGCGAUAGCACAGCCGUGCUCACCGGCGCAGCCUUUGACGAAGCGGGCUCUGGCCAGCGCGAGCGCCGUCGACGCCGACGCUGCGCCCUCUUCGGAGACCGACCUAAGAACGGCUGGGGAAGGCGAAGUCAAUGAGUCGAACUACGAGUCUUUCGUUUUUGACGAGAAAGACUUGAACCCCCUUGCAGAGACGCUGGGGCCCGCGAAGGGCAGCUCCUCUUGAACAGGGAUGGGUGACGUGGCCGCAAGCGCGCGGAAGAGUGUAGGCGCAUGGGGUAUACGUGUAUGGUUGUGCACGCGUGCAACAAGGUGCAUCGCCGUCAUUCUCUUCUUCGUCCCCCUUCCCCCUACCCUCCCCAUCGCACAGCCCAUCCACACAAGCUUCGAUGUACAGCACAGAGACGUCAGCUGGUCUCUCUCUGUUUUUCUUCGCUUCUGUCGUAUGUUGCCGUAUGGCUCCCUCCCCCCAGACACCGAGUCUGUUCCGUGCUUUCCCGUUUCUGUGGUGCUCGGUAGCCUUGGGUUAGGUGCGCGAGCGUGUGCGCUUCGGUCUCCCUCGCGCUGCCACACCGUUGUCUUUUUCUGCUGUUCCCGACCCCACGCUCUCUGUGUCUGUCUGUCUGCCCUUCACCGCUCUGCGCGAUGCGUGGCUGUUACACGUGCGUGUAGUGCGAGGAGAAGGGGAAUGCGACGUAGAGGCCUCACGGGCACGUGAAUCGGGUCAACACAUCCAUGGAGCCGAGCAAGGAAACAGCGAGAAGGCCAGUUCACAAAAAA